rnacentral:rRNA from 1 species
GCCUGUUUAUCAAAAACAUCUUUUCUUGUUUAUUUAUUUGAGAUUUGACCUGCUCUAUGAUUUAUUUAAUGGCCGCGGUAAUUUGACCGUGCAAAGGUAGCAUAAUCAUUAGUCUAUUAAUUGUGGACUUGUAUGAAUGGUUGGACGAAAUAUUGACUGUCUCGUUAUUAAAUAUUUAAUUUAAAUUUUGAGUUAAAAUGCUUAAAUGUUUUUAUAGGACGAGAAGACCCUUUAGAUCUUAAAUUAUUUAUUUUUAAUUUUAUUUUAGUUAUUAUUUAUUUAUUAGGAUUAUUUAUUUUUUGUUGGGGUGACAUGGAGAUAUAAUUAACUCUUUAUAAUUUUGUACAAUUAUUUUUGUUUAUAUGACCUUUUAUUAAUGUUAUAAGAUUUAGA